UUGACAAAUUAAUUGGAAUGGUGCAUUCUGAUGGUCUCUCUCGUUCACUUUGACAUGUGUGGCUCCACGCGCAAAUGACGUUUGCAGGUGACCCCUCAGAUCAGGGGAAAUUAAGGGAAUUCAUCUGAUUUAUUAUCUCUAAGGCGUGACAUACGGAAACAUGUACAAGGUGCAGCGUAGUCUACUCUCCCCCUUGAAUCUCGAAACAUUUCUCAAAAGGUGGUACAGAACACAAGGAGUGCAUGUUCGGUUUGCCCUGAGCCCAACAGGUUACCUGCAUCUCGGAGGCCUCCGUACAGCUCUGUGCAACAUGAUGCAACUAUUCAUUGGCUUGGGCAAACCUAGGAAAUUUCAUUCUACCCUUGAAAGACACGGAUCAAACAGGACUCGUACCAGAUGCUACCGGUAAGCUUCAAGAGGAUCCAUUCUGGGCUGCGCGCACAAAGAACUGACAAAGGGUGGACCUAUAAACUCCCACAUGCUCCCACUUUAAAACGAAACGUCUGAAAAUGUACAAGUAUCCAUUCCAAUAUCCCUUCCGCCAGUAUUAAUCCACCUGUCACAAUCUCCGAUAUGUCUAUCCUUCGAAGCGAGCAGGAUAAGAAUCAUUAAGGCAAACACCGAAGCACGACAAGUGUGGACACCUGAGCAAAGAGGACUGGAGGAUAAAUUGGGGCAAGGAGAAUCUUACUGCUUCAGAUUUGAGGUACGAGAAGGAUGUUUGGCUGUCGAUUUGACUCUGAGAGGAUAUCUGGGUUCAUCGUACAGCCGAGUAUAUGCAUAAAGCAUAAUUGUAGGCGCCACAGCAAAACGAGACGGAUGUAGGCAAGGGAUGGUCAAAUCAGAGCAGAAGACUGCGGUGAUGAGGUUGUACUGGAGGAACAACUGCCGCCUCUCCUUCAACUCGAAGAUUUGAUUCGCAAAAUCCUGAGCGGAGGAUGAUGAACUGAUUUUUGUGUGUUAUUCAUCCGGUAUCAUCCAUACACGUUGGAAAAAGUCUAGUAAGAGUAUUUCUUUAUCGAAUUAAAGAUUGGUAUCCUACAAGCGACUGGGUGAAGAAAAUUAUACAAUUUCCUGCUCGCUGGUUUGCCGUCCCGAGAAGAGAAGGUCGUUGACAAGAUUCAGGACGACUUGGCCGUCUCGGAAAGCGACGAGGACACUCAGAAUAAUCCGUUGGAAACAAAACCAGAAUUGGACGCACAACCGGACGAAGAUAAGGGAGGAGAUUUGUGGUUCUGAGUCGUGACUAGUUUGGAAAGACAUCUCUUGUCGCGUCGCUUGACGAGGGCGGGCUACAGCAAUUGGUGGCAAUCGGCCAUUCAAAAAUUUCCUUUCAUUCAAAAAUUGAGAACGCUGAACUGCGUAUGUUGACACCGUAGAUCUCCACGCACCUAUCACAAGAUGUGGUCGAUGAUAUUAUUACAAUCAAAGUGUACAUAUCCCAAUUAUAUCUGCUGAUCAUUGGAUUCAUAAUAUUGUGAAGAUAAUAUCCUUGUUGGGAUUGACGUGGAGAUUCAAAGUGGCUCAGAUGAGCCGUAGUGAUAUUGUUGAGAUAAAGCUAGAAGAUAUACUAAUCAAAUUGACCGAUCAGAUGUAGAGCGUAAGGUGUAAAAAUAUCUGAAUAUACAGUAGCGGAAGACAAAUAUACAAUUUUUAUCGAGUAAAUGAAAAAAUACGAAUAACUUUACAAAUAAUUUUUCGAAGCAGAAAAAUCCAUAUUCACCCCAUACAUGUGAAUAUAUCAAUCUAAUAAAGAACGGAACUGUGAGGAGAUAACGAUUACUCUUUCGUUUUCCGGGAGUUGCAUUAAUAUACAGAUUCAUUUAUAGUUCCGAUGUAUUCGACUCAAUUGUAUAGUUAUUAUUUUCCCAUGUAAAUAUAUUGUGGCAAUUAUAUUGAGACUGAUGGAGAGCCUUUUUUAUACAAAUUCCUGUUCUUCUUGAAUCGCCUGUGUCCCACGGUAUGGGUUUCUAGCCAAUAGAAAAAGAAGUUGAUGGCAAUGGUGAGCAAAAAUUGGAUACGCAAUCUUACGCAACAGGUAUCGAGUCUGACUCACAUAUCUCAACAUUUGGGAUGAUUUGAUUUUUCGAUUAGUGAGGCGCAUCACGGUUUGCCACUAAUAAUUUAUUAUAACUGAUAAUAUUGUUGGUACCAACAAUGAUAUCAAUGACGUACGAUGUAGAUCGCAAACUGCAGAGCUUGCGACACAUACCUGUAUGCCUUCCAACAUAACUAUGGAUGUACUUCAUGUACGUACGUGUUAAAUGU
rnacentral:misc_RNA from 1 species